CCAAACUAGUCAAAGAAACAGAAAGAUGUGCUGAAAUAUACAAAAUACAUCUACAUCCUUUUGUAAUUCAGGUCUUGUUUUGCUAAUAAGCACAUUAACAUCUUUUUUGGCCUUUGUGUUCAUUGAGCUCAUAGUUGCUGUAAUGGACACAUUGUAUGACACAUUGUAGUGACUGCAUAACACACUGCAAAUCAACACUUGGUUGAAACUAUAUUUCAAAUGUCAGGCAAUGCAACACCAAGGGUUAAGGAUUAAGAUGAUGUUAAAUCAUGACUCUAUGUCCUAACUUCAGAUUAAAUGUAAGUAGCAUGUAGGUGCUGUCUUUUUACAACAUAUUUACCAAAAGUACCUUUAGAAGAAUGUGCAGCAUACUUUUGUGGUUUUGUAACAGUGAUUGAGUAGGUCCACCCACUGGAGAGUUGUGUAAGGAUUCUUUCCACUUGCAGCCCACUUUCAGUGCCUACAAGUCUGUGUGGCAUUUAACAUUAAGAAUUACAUCAGCCUUUCUAAACUGUUAACAUGUGUACCUGGAUGUGCUUUUGGCUGUUGUUAUGUUUUUGUAGUUCUGCUUUACACAUGACUCUCUCAUCCAUCGUGACCCAGUCGCCAGGGCUAAUACAUGCUUUAGUCGGCAACACCAUUGAAAUUAAAUGUACACUUGAAACCAUAGUUAACUAUUGCCAUUCUACUGUUAGUUGGUACAAGGUAAAUCUAAGGACAUAUGAACUUACACCAACAAGGUUUGGUUCUAGUAUAGUUAACUCUGAUGAUAAAACUUGCACUUUAACCAUGACAAAUUUAACCCUGAAGGAUUCAGGCUUGUACUAUUGCAUGAGCACACAUAAUUCAAUGACUUUAAUGGGAAAUGGAACCAAGGUGAUUCUGACAGAUCACUCUAUACCAAAACUAUCCAACCUGUACUCACCAGACGAAACCUAUACAUCAGCCGUGCUGCUGCAGUGUCUGGUGACCAAAGUUGUUCCUUCUCAGGUCCGUGUGUUCUGGGUAAUGGGUCAGAAGCAGCAUACUGGAUGGACUGAGUCAGCCUGGACAAAUGACACUGAUUCAGCCACAGAAUUUACUCGUGCUCAUGUUUCUUUAACUUUAGAGGAAUGGACCCAAGACAAUGAGAUUAAAUGCAUUGUUGAACACGUGGGCAAGAACAUUUCCAAAACUCUGAUAAAAUGGGAACCUCCAGGAUCCAAACAAACCUGCUUGUUGCUUGUGUUCGGCGGCUACGGGGUAGCAGUCCUCAGCAUGGUUGUAAACGUUAUUAUCUCUGUGUCUUUAUACCGAGAAUUGUGCUUCAGAAAAACCUCCAUAGGGCUCACAGGAAAAGAUGUCCGUCGCAAAUUCUCCAACUAAAGUAAACACACAUACAGUGAGCAGAGAGUCCAUCUGUAAGGUGUUCCUCUGAAGGUCCCAUCAGUGUAUAACAUACGGGUGUCUGUGGAGAUCACCUGAAAUUUAAGAAAUAAAUAUAUGUAUCCUAAUACAUUUAUGUAUUUAAUACCUAUAUACAUACAUAAACUGUAUAUUCAGUUGUAUAUUUAGAAUUUACUUGUUAUUGCGAUUCUUUUGGUCCUUAACCCUCAUGCGCUUGCUUGGACAUUUUUGUCCAUUUUAAUUUGGUUUAUAUUUUUGAGAGUUUGGCUGUGUUUAUGAAAACAGCAUACAUCUGGCAAAAGGUGUGUAUUUUUAUUAGAAUUUUAAUAUUUUCCUCUAAUUUGCUUUUAUAAAUGUUUUUUUAAAGUAGGGAGUCGGCACACACAGUUGUUACACACGGGUGCUUUGGGCAAAAAUGACUCCAUUGAAACCCAUUAAAUAUGUAUUAAUAUGUAUGCCAUUUAGAUAUUAAUUUAUAAAUUCCAUAUAAACAUGUUUUCAUUAUGUUGGCAAGAGUUCAAAAUUACAAAAUAUUUUUUUUUUCAAGAAAAUUCAAAGUAUUCAUAUGUGUGGUAUUUACCACAUGUUAGAUACUUCAUUUUAUCCUAUGGAGCUUUUCCGUUAUUGUGCUUCUGCUGUAUUAUACAGCACUGCAGGCCAACUGAACAAAACAUACAGCUAUAACAAUGUUUGUGUGUUAGUAGAUGGUAAAGUGUGGUUCGUAUGUGUGUACUUAAAAAAUGUGUGUGUGUGCAGUUUGGAAGAAAGAUUGCAUACAGUAAAUCACAAAUGCCACUAAGUGUGAAUUAUUUUAAUUGAUUAAAAGUCAAAUCCAUUAUGGCUUUCCUGUAGCUCAGUGGUUAGAGCAUAGCGUUAGCAACGCCAAGGUCAUAGGUUCGAUCACAGGGAUUGCACAUAGUUAGAAACAAAUGUAUAGUAUAAUUCAAUGCUUUGGAUAAAAGCGU